AUCCAACUGACGAGUCCUAAAUAAGACGAAACGCGAGUCCUAU
rnacentral:hammerhead_ribozyme from 1 species